UACAGAGGGGGCAAGCGUUGUUCGGAAUUACUGGGCGUAAUGGCGCGUAGGCGGCCUGUUAAGUCGAACGUGAAAUCCCCGGGCUCAACCCGGGAACUGCGUCCGAUACUGGCAGGCUUGAAUCCGGGAGAGGGAUGCGGAAUUCCAGGUGUAGCGGUGAAAUGCGUAGAUAUCUGGAGGAACACCGGUGGCGAAGGCGGCAUCCUGGACCGGCAUUGACGCUGAGGCGCGAAAGCGUGGGGAGCAAACAGG
rnacentral:rRNA from 1 species